GUGCUCAGGUCAGCGGCACAUAUACUAAAAUUGGAAUGACACAGAGAGUAGCAUGGCCCCCGAGCAAGGAUGACACACAAAUUUGUGAAGGGUCCAUAUUUUUA